rfam:Termite gut metagenome tgut2b_Contig41182, whole genome shotgun sequence.
AACGAAAGGGCGCGUAAACGCGCCCUUUCAUAGAUAAAUGCGGGGCUAAACCCCGCAUUUUCAAUCAAAGGCAAAA